rnacentral:rRNA from 1 species
UUAUUGGGUUUAAAGGGUGCGUAGGCGGACCCGUAAGUCAGUGGUGAAAGUUUGCAGCUUAACUGUAAAAUUGCCAUUGAAACUACGGAUCUUGAGUGUAAAUGAGGUAGGCGGAAUGUGUUGUGUAGCGGUGAAAUGCUUAGAUAUAACACAGAACACCAAUUGCGGAGGCAGCUUACUAGGAUACAACUGACGCUGAGGCACGAAAGCGUGGGGAUCAGACAGGAUUAGAUACCCUGGUAGUCCACGCAGUAAACGAUGAAUACUAGCUGUAUGCGAUAUACUGUAUGUGGCAAAGCGAAAGCGUUAAGUAUUCCACCUGGGGAGUACGUUCGCAAGAAUG